rnacentral:rRNA from 1 species
UACGUAGGCAGCAAGCGUUGUUCGGAGUUACUGGGCGUAAAGGGUGCGUAGGCGGCUUCUUAAGUCUGGUGUGAAGUCUCCCGGCUCAACUGGGAGGGUGCGCCGGAUACUGAGGGGCUAGAGUGUGGGAGAGGAAAGUGGAAUUCCUGGUGUAGCGGUGAAAUGCGUAGAUAUCAGGAGGAACACCGGUGGUGUAAACGGCUUUCUGGACCAUAACUGACGCUGAGGCACGAAAGCGUGGGUAGCAAACAGG